AUUUUAGUUUUUUCUCUCCUUUAACGAAGGCUUGUCGUUUCGAAAAUUGCCAGUUAAUUCAGCAUCCAAAUUUGACGGAUUUUGACGGACUUUUGCGAUACUAAGGCGAUGAAGCUGGAUAUAGCUGAUUUAAUUGAUUAUCUCGCUGCGGCCCUGUUGAUAUGACAAAGCACUUUUAAUCAAGGAAGUCAAAAGGAAACAAAUAUAAGCAUCACAAAUCAUCCCUGAAUUGCAUUUGGAAGGUGAACGCUUCCCAGUUAUUGGCGAUCAACAAGUUUUAAAUCAAUCCAAGUAAAACUAACGGAGGAACAGCGUUUCAAAGGAGAGGCCGUGCUACCAGAAUGUUCAGACACAUCCACCUUCGGAUUUCAGCUGAUAUGAACAGCUGUGGUUCGCCAAAACGUAAGCGGCGAACUAACUGGGAAAUUUAUGGAGCGGCAAAACCUUAUGGACCAUAUCUUCAACGGAUUAUAUUAUUAUUAUUAUUAUUAUUUAUAUUCAGUAGCGUACCAAAAUGUAGUAAUUUUAAAACAAUGCUUUAUUUUUGGUACUAUUUUCUGUUCGUUAUAGUUAUUUUUUGCUUAUAUGGUGAAUGGAGAGGGAAAGGAAGCGCCGCAUUCAAAAUUAAAUUAAAUUUUUCAUUUUUUACUAAUGUUUAAAUAAAUAAUAGCCACAUCCAAUUCAUUUUCCAUAUAUUAAUAAUUUGUGGUUAAAUUUCACUUAGUUUUGACAACU